rnacentral:rRNA from 1 species
UACAGAGGUGGCAAGCGUUGUUCGGAAUUACUGGGCGUAAAGGGCGCGUAGGCGGUCUUUUAAGUCUUGUGUGAAAUCCCUCGGCUCAACUGAGGAACUGCACGGGAUACUGGAAGACUUGAGUUCGGGAGAGGGAAGCGGAAUUCCGGGUGUAGCGGUGAAAUGCGUAGAUAUCCGGAGGAACACCAGUGGCGAAAGCGGCUACCUGGCCCAUUCUUGACGCUGAGGCGCGAAAGCUAGGGGAGCAAACGGG